rnacentral:rRNA from 1 species
UGUGGUUUAUUCGAUGCAACGCGAAGAACCUUACCWACUCUUGACAUCCAGAGAAUUCGCUAGAGAUAGCUUAGUGCCUUCGGGAACUCUGAGACAGGUGCUGCAUGGCUGUCGUCAGCUCGUGUUGUGAAAUGUUGGGUUAAGUCCCGCAACGAGCGCAACMMUUAUCCUUUGUUGCCAGCACGUAAUGGUGGGAACUCAAAGGAGACUGCCGGUGAUAAACCGGAGGAAGGGGGGGAUGACGUCAAGUCAUCAUGGCCCUUACGAGUAGGGCUACACACGUGCUACAGUGGCGUAUACAAAGAGAAGCGAACUCCCGAGAGCAAGCGGACCUCAUAAAGUACGUCGUAGUCCGGAUCGGAGUGUGCAACUYGACUCCGUGAAGUCGGAAUCGCUAGUAAUCGUAGAUCAGAAUGCUACGGUGAAUACGUUCCCGGGCCUUGUACACACCGCCCGUCACACCAUGKGAGUUGGUUGCAAAAGAAGUAGGUAGCUUAACCUUCGGGAKGGCGCUUACCACUUUGUGAUUCAUGACUKGUGKAAGUCGUAACAAG